AUUGAACGCUGGCGGCAGGCCUAACACAUGCAAGUCGGGCGCGCGGCGGACGGGUGAGUAAUGUAUGGGGAUCUGCCUGAUGGCGGGGGAUAACUACUGGAAACGGUAGCUAAUACCGCAUACCAUCAGCUGAACCCAUAUGGGCUUAGCUAGUAGGUGGGGUAACGGCUUACCUAGGCGACGAUCCCUAGCUGGUCUGAGAGGAUGAUCCGCCACACUGGGACUGAGACACGGCCCAGACUCCUACGGGAGGCAGCAGUGGGGAAUAGUGCACAAUGGGCGCAAGCCUGAUGCAGCCAUGCCGCGUGUAUGAAGAAGGCCUUCGGGUUGUAAAGUACUUUCAGUCGGGAGGCGUUACCGAAAGAAGAAGCACAGGCUAACUCCGUGCCAGCAGCCGCGGUAAUUC
rnacentral:rRNA from 1 species